rnacentral:rRNA from 1 species
UACGUAGGGCGCAAGCGUUGUCCGGAAUUAUUGGGCGUAAAGAGCUCGUAGGCGGUUUGUCGCGUCUGCUGUGAAAUCUGGGGGCUCAACCCCCAGCCUGCAGUGGGUACGGGCAGACUAGAGUGCGGUAGGGGAGAUUGGAAUUCCUGGUGUAGCGGUGGAAUGCGCAGAUAUCAGGAGGAACACCAAUGGCGAAGGCAGAUCUCUGGGCCGUAACUGACGCUGAGGAGCGAAAGCAUGGGGAGCGAACAGG